ACUCCCUUGAGCUUUAAUCACUUAGCUCUUCUAAGAGCUGUUCCUGAUACCCUCUCCUGGAGGAGAGGUCUUCCCCACACAGUCCUGGAUGUCAGAGGUUCAUACAGGGUGGAAGGAAGAGGUCUUUCAAACACGGUCCUGGAAGACAGAAGCUGAUCCAGGGUGGAAGGAAGACGGCGAGACUACCAGUUAAGCUACGGCGGUUGUGGAGUCUGUGGUGGUUGUGGUGUCCGGUGC